rnacentral:tRNA from 1 species
CCUAUACUUAUGAUAAUGUUUGAUUUGAAAUCAUAUUAAUUGCUUUUAAUAGCAACAUGGGUUU